rnacentral:rRNA from 1 species
CCUACGGGAGGCAGCAGUGGGGAAUCUUGCGCAAUGGGCGAAAGCCUGACGCAGCAACGCCGCGUGCGGGAAGAAGGCUUUCGGGCUGUAAACCGCUUUCAGCAGGAACGAAAAUGACGGUACCUGCAGAAGAAGGAGCGGCCAACUAUGUGCCAGCAGCCGCGGUGAUACAUAGGCUUCAAGCGUUGUCCGGAUUUAUUGGGCAUAAAGAGUUCGUAGGCGGUCGAGUAAGUCGGGUGUGAAAAUUCUGGGCUCAACCCAGAGACGCCACCCGAUACUGCUUGACUUGAGUUCGAUAGGGGAGUGGGGAAUUCCUAGUGUAGCGGUGAAAUGCGCAGAUAUUAGGAGGAACACCGGUGGCGAAGGCGCCACUCUGGAUCGAUACUGACGCUGAGGAACGAAAGCAUGGGUAGCAAACAGGAUUAGAUACCCUGGUAGUCCAUGCCGUAAACGGUGGGCACUAGGUGUGGGUUUCUAUUAACGAAAUCCGCGCCGUCGCUAACGCAUUAAGUGCCCCGCCUGGGGAGUACGGUCGCAAGACUAAAACUCAAAGAAUUGACGG